rnacentral:rRNA from 1 species
AGGAUCAUUAUUGAAAUAAACUUGAUAAGUUGCUGCUGGUUCUCUAGGGAACAUUGUGCACACUUGUCAUCUUUGUAUCUUCACCUGUGCACCUUUUGUAGACCUGACUAUCUCUCUGAAUGCNNUGCCUAUAAACCUUUACAACUUUCAGCAACGGAUCUCUUGGCUCUCGCAUCGAUGAAGAACGCAGCGAAAUGCGAUAAGUAAUGUGAAUUGCAGAAUUCAGUGAAUCAUCGAAUCUUUGAACGCACCUUGCGCUCCUUGGUAUUCCGAGGAGCAUGCCUGUUUGAGUGCCAUUAAUAUUAUCAACCUUUUUGGUUGGAUUUGGGUUUGCUGGCCUUAAUGAGGUCAGCUCCCCUUAAAUGCAUUAGCAGACAACAUUUUGCCAACUGUUCAUUGGUGUGAUAAUUAUCUACGCUAUUGACAUGAAGCAAAGGUUCAGCUUCUAACUGUCCAUUGACUUGGACAACUUUAUUAAUAUGACCUCAA